rnacentral:rRNA from 1 species
GAUGAACGCUGGCGGCGUGCCUAAUACAUGCAAGUCGAGCGAACGGACGAGAAGCUUGCUUCUCUGAUGUUAGCGGCGGACGGGUGAGUAACACGUGUAUAACCUACCUAUAAGACUGGGAUCACUUCGGGAAACCGGAGCUAACACCGGAUAAUAUUUUGAACCGCAUGGUUCAAAAGUGAGAGACGGUGUUGCGGUCACGUAUAGCUGGAUCCGCGCUGCAUUAGCUAGUUGGUAAGGUAACGGCUUACCAAGGCAACGAUGCGUAGCCGAACGGAUAGGGGGAUCGGCGACACGGGAGCUGAGCCGCGGACCAGGCUCCUGCGGGAGGGAGCAGAAGGUAAUGUUCGGCAAUGGGCGGAAGCAUGACGGAGCGACGGCGCGUGAGUGGUGAAGGCCUUCGGAUCGUAAAGCCGGGUUUUGGGGGGAGAACAUCUGUGGAAGUAGCCGAAGACAUAGUGACGGUAACUGGUCAGAAAGCAACGGCUAACUACGUG